AGAAAGUUGAAGCUAACUGAACAAAGACUGGAAACUUCCAUAAACUUCCCGAACAAAGUAAAUUUUCUCCAUUUUGAACGUUAAGGCAUGGUUUCCAAAAGAUGUUCAGUUUCUUUGGUGUUUAUCAUGUCUAUAUUGUUGGUGAUAUAUUCUGCUGAUGGCGACAAACGACCAACCUUCAAUGGAAGUAUCUUUGGGAAAAGAGCUAGGUCGAAUGGGUUUGACAAUGCAGCAACCAUGGGUCCAAUCACUGCAAAAAUCCGCAGACCGUCUUUAAACGGAAGUGUAUAUGGCAAGCGAUCAG